GAUACACGUUACUGUCGACAACAGUAUCACGGUUAGAUGGUCUGCACGAACAACAUGAACGUGAGAACGAUUUUAAUCUCAGCUCAACUUUCAGCAUCACUUGAAAUCAAUAUUUGAAGAGCGGCGUUACACCGAUCAAUCAAUCAGUCAAUCAAGGACAAACAGCCAGAGAUUUGUUGUGCCAAGUUUUUCUUACAGCACUUUUGAUUGUCACUGACAGAAGAAAAUAUGUACUGCAUAUUUACUUGUCAUACAGACAGCUGACACACUGGCGUUUCAUUAAAAGCAGGUUUUUUUUUUUUUAUAGCAUCGACAGUAAAUUACAGCUUUUAUUGUUCAAAUCAGAGAGCGAAGGCUUCUCUCAUCCACAGCAGAGGCAGAGAUGCCGAUCCGCGCUCCGUCAGGACGCCGUCAGUGGUCGAGAAUGUGACGCUCUUUCCACCCUGAGAGCGAAGCCGGGGGGCAUGUUCUCCGCCGGCUGCUGAAAGGCACGACGAGAACAACUGGCACAACGUAGCAUGAAGCAGGAUCACUGUUGCCACGGUAACCCGUAAACACCAGUAAAGAGCAGCGGUUAUAGAAUAUCUGAAGUGUCCAGAUACGCCAGACGAGACUGGAAGGGGUCAAAGUCAUUUACAGCGAGGCAGAAGAUGUUCAGAAGGCCAUUCAUAUGUGACGCAGGACGUCGGCCUUCAACAGAUACUCGAGGAUAAUUUCCUUUUCUACAGUCGGGAUGAAAAGACUGAUAUCCAUCACGUGUGUCUACUGCUUUCUGAAGUUUGAGAAAAUACUUGUGACAGCUGCUCCAGAGGAUGACUGGUCCAGCACCUGUGAAUGUGGAUCAGGACGUGGAGUCAUCGUAUUUCUGCAAUUGACUUUACCGUCUGCAGGAUUUGAAAAUGUCAGGACGUGCCCUGUCUUGAAGUGAAGGAGGUGAAAAAUAAUUUGUGUUCCUCCAAAAUGUAACAGCCUUUGUCAUUUUGCUGACAAACAAACAAACUCAAAACUUAAAGCUCCUGGUGGAUUAAUAAGCAACAAAAUGUCAAACUAAUCCUGUACUUAAAGUCAGUCCUCCAUCAGUUUACCCCUCCGUUCUUCCACCCUUUCCUCCACCGCUCAGUUACUCCUCUCCUGCCUGCAUGGCAUCGUCAUCGCCUUAGCUGUAGCUCUUGACGCCAGCCCAGGGCUCAGGAGAUAAUGCUUAUAGCUACAGGACAGAUUUAUUCCAACAUGGCUGGCCGUGUACACGGCCAAAAGGAUCCUCAGCGCCUCCCGGAGCACCGCUGUCCUCUGGAGCGAUGAGGACAAAGAGGGGGAGUGAGCUGCCGGGGGCCUCAGCAGCACCAGAGUGUGCACUCAGUAGCACGGCGAGAGAAAUCAUACCUUUCCCAGCAGCUCCUUCGUUCUCAUUAUACAACUCCCUCACUCUGUCUGAGGAUCCUCUGCCUCUCUCACACACUCUCUCACACACACAUAUAGAGGUCAGUCAGCCAUACAGAUUACAACACCCACUGAGGGGGUUGAGGACGGGUUCUUGCCUGACACUGAAAAGAGCUCUCACUAUUACACUGUUAUUUUUGGAGCACCUUUGUCUGAUCAUCUGCUCGUAAUACUCUCCACUGUAGCCCUCGGAUUAGCCAGAGAGGCUGCCUGUAUAUAUAAAUUACUCUGCAGCAGACAUGUGACGUGACAUGCAGAACGUUCAGGACUAUAAUUAUGUUCGGGAGAGCGAUUUAUUUUGGCCUUGUCUUGAUCCAACUCUGAUAUCUAUAGUCAACAAAGCCUGGAGUCCUUUUCUUUUUUUUUCAGUGUGUGUGAUCUGUAGAAGCACAGAAGUGAUUUCCAAAGUUGGAAUUUAAAGGAACAAUUCACCCAAAAAAUGAAACUGUUUCCUUCUUUACUAUCUGCUAUAAGUUUCGUAGUCCAAAAAAGAAUUUCUGGAGCUUAAGUUGAUUUAAAACAUUGAAAAUAAUAACUGAAAGAAAUAAGUGAAAAACUGAAAGAAAUCUCUGUACAGCACGUCUAGCGAAAUCAAGUCUUCAGACUGAUGUGAAAAAAUGUUAAUCAAACUCGUGACUCACAAUCGAGCUUGUUCUAAUGAUUUUAGCUCAGCAGCCACAGCGAAGAUUUCACCUUAAUAAGCUGCAGACAAGCUGUAUGGAGACAUUUUAUGUUUUUAAAUCAAGUCUCCAGCUACUUCAGCUGUUUAUGAGAACGCUGCGACUCUGUUUUACUGUGAAGCUCCAGAAAUGUUUUGUGAUCUACUUUUCCAUCAGCGUGAGGGUGAGCAGAUAAUGACUGAAAACUUUCCUUUUAAGGCAGAUUGUUCCUAUAAACCUGUAAACAUUUUCUGCCUUUAUUGAAAAAUAAUAGUGAGCUCAAAAAAAAAAUGUCCUCAAUAAAAAUAUAAAAUAAACAAACCUAAGUUGGCCGAAGCUUCGUUGACUCGUUCUCCUUUAACAAAAAUGAGGCUGUGAGUUUCCUGCUACAUUCAGGGCAGAACGGGAAGUCUAAGAGUUAUUUGAUUUGACGGUAAUUCGUUCUCUUUCCAAACCAGUACCUUUCACUCGGGUUUCUAUCACUCACGGGUUAAGCAUAGGUGAAGCAGCUCUCCUGACAAAUCUGAAAAAUCCCUCCUCAGGAAAUGGGUCAACAUUAAUCCCAGAUCUUUACAACUGUUUUUGGCAGGCAACCACAAAUUGAGUUCAGAAAAUCCUCGUGGGCGCUGUAUCUGAAAUACAUGAAGAGUGUUGUUUAACCUCAUCCUGUAGCUUCUGCU